CCUACGGGCGGCAGCAGUGGGGAAUAUUGGACAAUGGGGGCAACCCUGAUCCAGCCAUGCCGCGUGUGUGAAGAAGGCCCUCGGGUUGUAAAGCACUUUCAGUGAGGAAGAACGCCUGGUGGUUAAUACCCAUCAGGAAAGACAUCACUCACAGAAGAAGCACCGGCUAACUCCGUGCCAGCAGCCGCGGUAAUACGGAGGGUGCGAGCGUUAAUCGGAAUUACUGGGCGUAAAGCGCGCGUAGGUGGCUUGAUAAGCCGGUUGUGAAAGCCCCGGGCUCAACCUGGGAACGGCAUCCGGAACUGGCAAGCUAGAGUGCAGGAGAGGAAGGUAGAAUUCCCGGUGUAGCGGUGAAAUGCGUAGAGAUCGGGAGGAAUACCAGUGGCGAAGGCGGCCUUCUGGACUGACACUGACACUGAGGUGCGAAAGCGUGGGUAGCAAACAGGAUUAGAUACCCGGGUAGUC
rnacentral:rRNA from 1 species